rnacentral:misc_RNA from 1 species
CCAGUAUUCUCAACCUUCAAAGUCAAGAAAACCUUAACAAUAUGUGAAGUCAGAUCAACUCUGCGCUCGGCGUUGAGGAUUUGGAUCUGUUGAGAGAAGGCCGUGGUAAGAAGUGAGAGAAAUGCGAAAAUGGAGAGAGCAAGGGUUAGUCGAGCUCCGAGCGGAGCUUCCAUGGCUGUGUGGUGCUGUCGCACAGUUCAACCCCUGACAGGCAGACUGCAGAGACUCAAGUCCUCCGUUACCAAAGACUGGAGUGUGGUAUCAGUCAUUUUGCAUGCUCUAUUGGGCCUAUCUUUAUUGCUAUGGGC